AUUGAACGCUGGCGGCAGGCUUAACACAUGCAAGUCGAGCGGAGAUGAGGUGCUUGCACCUUAUCUUAGCGGCGGACGGGUGAGUAAUGCUUAGGAAUCUGCCUAUUAGUGGGGGACAACAUUCCGAAAGGAAUGCUAAUACCGCAUACGUCCUACGGGAGAAAGCAGGGGAUCUUCGGACCUUGCGCUAAUAGAUGAGCCUAAGUCGGAUUAGCUAGUUGGUGGGGUAAAGGCCUGCCAAGGCGACGAUCUGUAGCGGGUCUGAGAGGAUGAUCCGCCACACUGGGACUGAGACACGGACCAGACUCCUACGGGAGGCAGCAGUGGGGAAUAUUGGACAAUGGGGGAAACCCUGAUCCAGCCAUGCCGCGUGUGUGAAGAAGGCCUUAUGGUUGUAAAGCACUUUAAGCGAGGAGGAGGCUACUGAGACUAAUACUCUUGGAUAGUGGACGUUACUCGCAGAAUAAGCACCGGCUAACUCUGUGCCAGCAGCCGCGGUAA
rnacentral:rRNA from 1 species